AUACCGGCCAGAGACCGAUAGCGCACAAGUAGAGUGAUCGAAAGAUGAAAAGCACUUUGGAAAGAGGGUCAAACAGCACGUGAAAUUGUUAAAAGGGAAGCGCUUGCAGCCAGACUUGCCUGCAGUUGUUCGCCUGGGCUUUUGCCCGGGUUACUCUUCUGCAGGCAGGCCAGCAUCAGUUUGGGCGGUCGGAUAAAGGUCCCUGACACGUAUCUCCCUUCGGGGUUAACAUAUAGGGGGGACGUAAUGCGACCAGCCCGGACUGAGGUCCGCGCAUCUGCUAGGAUGCUGGCGUAAUGGCUGUAAGCGGCCCGUCUUGAAACACGGACC
rnacentral:rRNA from 1 species